rnacentral:tRNA from 1 species
AACUUUGUAGUGUAGUGUGUAGUACGUCGGCUACCACGUCGAAGGCGCAGGUUCGAUUCCUGCCGAGGUUC